rnacentral:rRNA from 1 species
AGCGAACGCUGGCGGCAGGCCUAACACAUGCAAGUCGAACGAACCUUUCGGGGUUAGUGGCGGACGGGUGAGUAACACGUGGGAACGUGCCUUUAGGUUCGGAAUAACUCAGGGAAACUUGUGCUAAUACCGAAUGUGCCCUUCGGGGGAAAGAUUUAUCGCCUUUAGAGCGGCCCGCGUCUGUUUAGCUAGUUGGUUGAGGUAAUGGCUCACCAAGGCGACGAUCAGUAGCUGGUCUGAGAGGAUGAUCAGCCACAUUGGGACUGAGACACGGCCCAAACUCCUACGGGAGGCAGCAGAGGGGAAUCUUGCGCAAUGGGCGAAAGCCUGACGCAGCCAUGCCGCGUGAAUGGUGAAGGUCUUAGGAUUGUAAAAUUCUUUCACCGGGGACGAUAAUGACGGUACCCGGAGAAGAAGCCCCGGCUAACUUCGUG